GUCUAUGGCAACACCACCGUCAAAACACCCAGACUUGUUGGAUCUUGGAAGUUAAGCAGGGUCAGACCUGGUUAGUACUUGGAUGGGAGACCGCCUGGGAAUACUGGAUACUACAUUCC
rnacentral:rRNA from 1 species